GCGAACGCUGGCGGCAGGCCUCACACAUGCCAGUCGCACGAACCUUUCGGGGUUAGUGGCGGACGGGUGAGUAACACGUGGGAACGUGCCUUUAGGUUCGGAAUAACUCAGGGAAACUUGUGCUAAUACCGAAUGUGCCCUUCGGGGGAAAGAUUUAUCGCCUUUAGAGCGGCCCGCGUCUGAUUAGCUAGUUGGUUGAGGUAAUGGCUCACCAAGGCGACGAUCAGUAGCUGGUCUGAGAGGAUGAUCAGCCACAUUGGGACUGAGACACGGCCCAAACUCCUACGAGAGGCAGCAGUGGGGAAUCUUGCGCAAUGGGCGAAAGCCUGACGCAGCCAUGCCGCGUGAAUGAUGAAGGUCUUAGGAUUGUAAAAUUCUUUCACCGGGGACGAUAAUGACGGUACCCGGAGAAGAAGCCCCGGCUAACUUCGUG
rnacentral:rRNA from 1 species